AUAAUGGUAGAGCUCAAGCUAUGGCGAACUAUCAAAUAUUUUUAUCAUGUGCGCCAGCUUUGGCACCAAUCUUAGGGAGUACUUUAGGUGCAAGAUGGGAUUAUAUUGGUAUUUUUAGUUUUUUGCUUGUUAUAUCUAUCGUAUUAUUUCUGAUUAUCUUUUUUAUUGAUAUUCCAAAUGUUGAAAAAGGGAUUGUGAAAUUAACUGAAAAAAUUGAAGAAAAAUAUUUGAUCGAUAAAGUGUUUAUUACUUUAGUGACAUUGGGAUUUUUAAUAUUUUUGACGUACUUUUCAAUAUUAGUUUAUUUACCGACAUUAUUAAAUAAUACCUAUGAUAUAGGCGUUGGAAUAUCAGGAGUUUUGUUUUUACCUAUUACUGUUAGUGUUAUAUUAGGAAGUUUAUUUUAUAAACGAUUGUCAAAAAAAUAUAAUGAAAUAAUGAUACUUCGUGUUACUAUAACUGGAUUUGCUAUAUUUACGUUAUUGUUUGGUUGGUUAAACGAAUCAAAUGUAAUUAUAUUAUCAGUAAUUAUAUUUAUAUUAG
rnacentral:sRNA from 1 species